AAACCCCGAAGAUCUUUAUUUAAAUUUAAAGAUGUGAUCCACACUCUUGCACAGAUACCAACCUUGGAGAGAGAGAAAAAAAACACAACCCUGCCUCCGAAUAAGCUCUGAAGUUCAGUGUUUACCUCCGCUUAGAGCACAUACACUUGCUGAUAGUAUUUGAGAGUGUGUAUGAGGAAGAGGUGCGGAGAUAUAACGAGUGUGUGUUUGGAUGUGUUGCAGCGAGUGAGUAAAUCCACAAUUUGCUCACGCAUUUUAGGGUGUGCAAAGCGCGCUCUGUUUUCUUCCUCAGGUGCCAUUUCAUGUUCGUACCCUUCAUUUGGUGUUUCAGUGCAGACAUUUUUUAUUUAUUUAUUUUUUGCACAACACAUGGCUUGUGCCUUUUUGUAUAUUUUUAACAAGAUAUUCAUGUCUACUUGUCAUUAGGAGUGAAAGUUACAAACAGAGUGAGGCGAGGUGUGGGGGGUGUUUUUCCGCCGUCACUGCCAGAAACACUUAUUGAUUUGCAAUUCUGCUGCUGCUUCUUCUUCUUGCAGUUGAGUCUGCUCAUGCUGACUUUCAGGAGGUUUUAUACUAAAAUUCAUAUUUUUCUUUUUGUUUUUUUUCUCCACCCAGCCCAAAUCUCUUCCCCUGCUUUUCCCUCUCUCUUCUCCCCCCCACCUUACAUUUCACUCACGGCAGUUGUCGCUGGUUCAGCUUGACUGCUUCGUUAGGGCUCAUCAUUUGCAUUCAGAUUAAUUAUCUAAUUACCGACAAAUGUCCGGCGGCCACCCCACACUCCGGCUCGUCAGCUCUCAGCCUGUAAUUAUUUUAAUCAUUUACUUUCAUCUGGAGCUUUCCUGCCAUACUCCUGUGUUUAGAGGCCAUUCUUAAUUACCCUGCCAAGACACUCUUUUCAUGAGAGGGAGGGGAGGAGGGGUUGGUUUGAGGGAAAGAGAGCAAUUGGGUGAGGGAAAGUGUGUGUGUGUGUGAGAGAGAGAGAGAGCGAGAGACCGAUGGGGACAUGAUCCAGAGGCUUUGACAGCACAGAGGAAGCUCAAUGCUCUGCUAGAUGCUCUCUUUCUCUCUCUCUUUCUCUA
ensembl:lncRNA